GACGAACCGAGCGAACGUUGUUCGGAAUCACUGGGCUUAAAGGGCGCGUAGGCGGGCUGCCGCGUCCGGGGUGAAAUCCUCCGGCUCAACCGGAGAACGGCCCCGGGUACGGGCGGCCUCGAGGGGGGUAGGGGCGGGCGGAACUGUGGGUGGAGCGGUGAAAUGCUUAGAUAUGACAUAGAACACCUAUUGCGAAGGCAGCAGGCUACACAUAUAUUGACGCUGAGGCACGAAAGCGUGGGGAUCAAACAGG
rnacentral:rRNA from 1 species